rnacentral:misc_RNA from 1 species
ACAGAAAUAUCGACCACCAGGAAGGAAGAAGAGCCCAACUGCGAUUAACAAGGCCAGAGCUGCACGGGGGGUUACGGAUGCAGCUGAUAAGUUUGCAAGUAUGACGAUUGGUUCCCACAGGCAGAUUGGGGCACAACCUAAGCCACCACCUAUGAAAGCUGGAGUGCAGUGGACUGGUGAAUCUGGUGACAUGUUUCUCAGACCAACCCAUCAAUUUCAACCUAGCAGAACUUAUACUAGGAAAGUUGUGGAAUGACGUCUUUGGAGAGGACUACUUCAGGGGGCUCUUAGUAUGUGGUGCAAUGUAGUACAAUAAUUAGAAUUUCAUGCUAUGUUUGUGUGGUGUGGUGUUGAUGUUAUUAAAAAAAAAAAAAA